CUACGCCCCCCGCUUCUUAUUCGGUGACCAGCCCACCGCAUGGUGGGCCCCACUCCUUUAAAAAAACAAAACAGCAGAAAACAAAACAAGCCCAAUGCUUGUUCUUCUGGUUCCAAGAGAAAGCGAGAGAGAGAAUCAGAAUGCGACCACCACGUCCACCACCUACCUACGCCGAGGAUCCCCAUCACCACCACCUUCGCCGACGACUCUCAUCACCACCUCCGACCACCAUGUCAGUGGCUCCAAUUCCGGCAACCACCCCCAACACCUCGCGAGAAUCACGAAAAUCUGCGGAUUUGUCCUAGAUUCAAAUUGGGACGCACUCCACAGCUAAGGAAUGGCUGGAAAAAGGUUCUAUUAUGUUCUUUUUGUUGGAAAAGUCCCUGGAAUUAGGGCUGCAAACGAGCCGAGCCGAGCCGAGUUUUAGAGUGUUCGAGCUCGGCUCGCCAAAAAUUUAGUUGGCUCGAGCUCGUGACGAGCUGCAGAACUCGAGCUCGGCUCGAGAUGUAUUUAUGGAGCUCGAGCUCGGCUCGUUCGGCUCGUUUAUGAAACAAAUAUAUAUAAAUAAAUAUAAAUAUGUAAAAAAUAUAUAUAUAUAAAUAUAUAUAAUAUAAUCGAGCUUGCGAGCUAAUUCGAGCCGAGUUUCGACUAGCUCGAGCUCGGCUCGUUUAUGAAACGAGCCCAGGACUCGAGCUCGAGCUCGUUCGUUUUUGUCUCGAACCGAGCCGAGUCGAGCCGUUAUCGAGCCGAGCUCCGAGCCGCUCGUGAGCGGCUCGGAUCGUUUGCAGCCCUACCUGGAAUAUAUGAAAGUUGGAUAGCUUGGAGGGUGUAUGUCGAAGCUCAUUGCAAUGUGCAAUUGUCUUCUCAACCUGCUCAACUCUGCACCGAUUACCCACCUUUGCUCGUACCUAUGGAAGCAAACGUGGACGUCCAUGGUGGUGUAAAUACGUGCAUGUACAUUGCAAUGUUCUUUUCCUUUCUUUUUGCUCGGUGCAAAUAUGUGCAAGUAAACGUGAAUGGCCCUGGUGAACAUGACUCAGAAGACUCCAAAGGGACCUCGCAAGAAGUGACACUCUAGGCUUUUUCUUUCUUUUUGCUCAUUUAUUUAUUUUUUCUUUUAUUGGUGCACUAUCCGGGGUAGAAAGCUUAUGUAAUAAUGCUUAGCUCAUGUCUCCUUUUUGUAUCCUUUUUUCAUGACACAUGUACCACACUUGAUCGAUGUCAAUGGAUGUCGUACUUUCCUUUA